CCUACGGGUGGCAGCAGUGGGGAAUAUUGGGCAAUGGACGCAAGUCUGACCCAGCAACGCCGCGUGAAGGAAGAAGGCUUUCGGGUUGUAAACUUCUUUUAAGGGGGAAGAGCAGAAGACGGUACCCCUUGAAUAAGCCACGGCUAACUACGUGCCAGCAGCCGCGGUAAUACGUAGGUGGCAAGCGUUGUCCGGAUUUACUGGGUGUAAAGGGCGUGCAGCCGGAGAGACAAGUCAGAUGUGAAAUCCACGGGCUCAACCCGUGAACUGCAUUUGAAACUGUUUCCCUUGAGUGUCGGAGAGGUAAUCGGAAUUCCUUGUGUAGCGGUGAAAUGCAUAGAUAUCACACAGAACACCGAUUGCGAAGGCAGCAUACCGGCGCCCAACUGACGCUGAAGCACGAAAGCGUGGGUAUCGAACAGGAUUAGAUACCCUUGUAGUC
rnacentral:rRNA from 1 species